ensembl:snoRNA SNORA70 Small nucleolar RNA SNORA70
UUGAAGAAUAUGUUUAAAGCUUCCAGUAGGAAAAAGAAACAUGGGGCCUUGUGCAAAGACUGCAAAGGGCAGCCUCAUUGGGAGCUCAUGUAGCCUGUUGCCUAUAUGGGUUGCCCUAAGGGAACUUCCUUGGAGACAAUU